AGUUUGAUCCUGGCUCAGGAUGAACGCUAGCUACAGGCUUAACACAUGCAAGUCGAGGGGCAGCAUGAACUUAGCUUGCUAAGUUUGAUGGCGACCGGCGCACGGGUGAGUAACACGUAUCCAACCUGCCGAUGACUCGGGGAUAGCCUUUCGAAAGAAAGAUUAAUACCCGAUGGCGUAGUUCUUCCGCAUGGUAGAACUAUUAAAGAAUUUCGGUCAUCGAUGGGGAUGCGUUCCAUUAGGUUGUUGGCGGGGUAACGGCCCACCAAGCCUUCGAUGGAUAGGGGUUCUGAGAGGAAGGUCCCCCACAUUGGAACUGAGACACGGUCCAAACUCCUACGGGAGGCAGCAGUGAGGAAUAUUGGUCAAUGGACGGGAGUCUGAACCAGCCAAGUAGCGUGAAGGAUGACUGCCCUAUGGGUUGUAAACUUCUUUUAUACGGGAAUAAAGUGAGGCACGUGUGCCUUUUUGUAUGUACCGUAUGAAUAAGGAUCGGCUAACUCCGUGCCAGCAGCCGCGGUAAUACGGAGGAUCCGAGCGUUAUCCGGAUUUAUUGGGUUUAAAGGGAGCGUAGGCGGACGCUUAAGUCAGUUGUGAAAGUUUGCGGCUCAACCGUAAAAUUGCAGUUGAUACUGGGUGUCUUGAGUACAGUAGAGGCAGGCGGAAUUCGUGGUGUAGCGGUGAAAUGCUUAGAUAUCACGAAGAACUCCGAUUGCGAAGGCAGCCUGCUGGACUGUAACUGACGCUGAUGCUCGAAAGUGUGGGUAUCAAACAGGAUUAGAUACCCUGGUAGUCCACACAGUAAACGAUGAAUACUCGCUGUUUGCGAUAUACAGUAAGCGGCCAAGCGAAAGCGUUAAGUAUUCCACCUGGGGAGUACGCCGGCAACGGUGAAACUCAAAGGAAUUGACGGGGGCCCGCACAAGCGGAGGAACAUGUGGUUUAAUUCGAUGAUACGCGAGGAACCUUACCCGGGCUUGAAUUGCAACUGAAUGAUGUGGAGACAUGUCAGCCGCAAGGCAGUUGUGAAGGUGCUGCAUGGUUGUCGUCAGCUCGUGCCGUGAGGUGUCGGCUUAAGUGCCAUAACGAGCGCAACCCUUAUCGAUAGUUACCAUCAGGUGAUGCUGGGGACUCUGUCGAGACUGCCGUCGUAAGAUGUGAGGAAGGUGG
rnacentral:rRNA from 1 species